UACAGAGGGGGCAAGCGUUGUCCGGACUUACUGGGUGUAAAGCGCAUGCAGGUGGCCUGGCAAGUGUGCUGUGAAAGCCCCGUGCUUAACACGGGGAGGCCAGUACAGACUGCCAAGCUCGAGGACUGCAGAGGGUAGGGGAAUUGCUGGUGUAGUGGUGAAAUGCGCAGAUAUCAGGAGGAACACCGGUGGCGAAGGCGGCCCCCUGGACCGGUACUGACGCUGAGGCGCGAAAGCGUGGGUAGCAAACAGG
rnacentral:rRNA from 1 species